UGAUUGUGAAGGGGACCACAAGUAAAUCCUCCCUGUGCACCCAGAUUGGAUCUUGCAUUGAGAAACAUCAAAAUCUGAAUUAUGCAGAGGCUAUGCAGCACUAUGGUACUUUUUAGGACUUGGUGAAGCAAAUUACCAGCAGUUUUGCUCUACUGUUUCUAGAGAUAUUCCAGCAACCAACUUCAAAUUGCUGAAGAUAUAGACAGACAUACCCUGGAGUUGUGGCACCCAUUAAUAGAUCAGGCGAGCCUGUGCAGCUGUGUUUUGAUCAGUGGAAAGGUUUCCUGGCAUCCAAGAACUGAAAUCACCUUUUAGGUCAUCACACCUCACUAGAGGUUUCCCUGGUUUAAUGAGCAACCAUAGAGAGUACCCAGAGGAUGGGGGUCGUUGUACAUUCUUAUGUUUGAAAGCUGCUCCACAGCAUCCACAGAAGGAUUCUUGGCACCUGCCUAGUUAAACUGGAUGUCCAAUGUUAUCU